rnacentral:rRNA from 1 species
CCGAGAAUAUUCGACAAUGGGCGCAAGCCUGAUCGAGCGAUACCGCGUGGUGGAUGAAGCGCUUCGGCGCGUAAACAUCUUUUAUGGAGGAGGAAGUUAUUGACGUUACUCCAUGAAUAAGGGGCUCCUAACUCUGUGCCAGCAGGAGCGGUAAUACAGAGGCCCCGAGCGUUACCCGGAAUUACUGGGCGUAAAGAGUGCGUAGGUGGUCGUGUUAGUCGUUCGUUAAAACCCCCGGCUCAACCGGGGAUCUGCGGGCGAAACGGCACGACUCGAGGGCGUGAGAGGUACAUGGAACUCUAGGUGUAGGGGUGAAAUCCGUUGAUAUCUAGGGGAACACCGAAAGCGAAGGCAAUGUACUGGCGCGUUCCUGACACUCAAGCACGAAAGCGUAGGUAGCGAACGGGAUUAGAUACCCCUGUAGUCC